rnacentral:rRNA from 1 species
UGGGGAAUAUUGGACAAUGGGCGAAAGCCUGAUCCAGCCAUGCCGCGUGAGUGACGAAGGCCUUAGGGUUGUAAAACUCUUUCGUCGGGGACGAUAAUGACGGUACCCGAAGAAGAAGCUCCGGCUAACUUCGUGCCAGCAGCCGCGGUAAUACGAAGGGAGCUAGCGUUGUUCGGAAUCACUGGGCGUAAAGCGCACGUAGGCGGAUAGUUAAGUCAGGGGUGAAAUCCUGGGGCUCAACUCCAGAACUGCCUUUGAUACUGGCUGUCUCGAGGUCGAGAGAGGUUGGUGGAAUUCCUAGUGUAGAGGUGAAAUUCGUAGAUAUUAGGAAGAACACCAGUGGCGAAGGCGGCCAACUGGCUCGAUACUGACGCUGAGGUGCGAAAGCGUGGGGAGCAAACAGGAUUAGAUACCCAGGUAGUCCCUGAGCGGGCUGGCAAGGCGCAU